rnacentral:misc_RNA from 1 species
GAUGAAGAACGUAGCGAAAUGCGAUAAGUAAUGUGAAUUGCAGAAUUCAGUGAAUCAUCGAAUCUUUGAACGCACAUUGCGCCCCCUGGUAUUCCGGGGGGCAUGCCUGUCCGAGCGUCAUUACAACCCUCAAGCUCAGCUUGGUAUUGGGCCCCGCCGCUCCGGCGGGCCCUAAAGUCAGUGGCGGUGCCGUCCGGCUCCGAGCGUAGUAAUUCUUCUCGCUCUGGAGGUCCGGUCGUGUGCUCGCCAGCAACCCCCAAUUUUUUUCAGGUUGACCUCGGAUCAGGUAGGGAUACCCGCUGAACUUAAGCAUAUCAAUAAGCGGAGG